rnacentral:rRNA from 1 species
GACGAACGCUGGCGGCGUGCUUAAAACAUGCAAGUCGAACGGAAAGGCCCUGCUUUUGUGGGGUGCUCGAGUGGCGAACGGGUGAGUAACACGUGAGUAACCUGCCCUUGACUUUGGGAUAACUUCAGGAAACUGGGGCUAAUACCGGAUAGGAGCUCCUGCUGCCUGGUGGGGGUUGGAAAGUUUCGGCGGUUGGGGAUUGACUCGCGGCUUAUCAGCUUGUUGGUGGGGUAGUGGCUUACCAAGGCUUUGACGGGUAGCCGGCCUGAGAGGGUGACCGGCCACAUUGGGCCUGAGAGACGGCCCAGACUCCUACGGGAGGCAGCAGUGGGGAAUAUUGCACAAUGGGCGGAAGCCUGAUGCAGCAACGCCGCGUGCGGGAUAACGGCCUUCGGGUUGUAAACCGCUUUCGCCUGUGACGAAGCGUGAGUGACGGUAAUGGGUAAAGAAGCACCGGCUAACUACGUG